CUCGCCACGCAUGACUCGGGCUCGAGGUUCGGCCUGCUAGGAGCAACAUUCAUGGGCGUGCUCUUUCUGUAUGUCACGCCGGAAAUCGUCAUUUCUCUUCAAUGGCAAACGACCUUCAAAUUACUUUAAUAGCCACUCGUCUGCAGUGAGACAAAACGCAGAAAAAUGAUCUGUACUGAUGGCCUCAAUGGGAGUUUGAUCACUUCUUAACAGUUCCUCACCUCUUUCAGAGCCCAUUACCCUUGAGAGAACUGUAAUGGCGGUGAGAGACUCAUCUGCAGAGCAGGUUUUGUUCACAGUGACGGUAAAAAAAAGAUAAAGAAUAAAAUAAAAGUCUCUUAAAGAAUCCUG